UUUAGACAAAUACCAUGGUUCUUUAGAACUGAGAAGGCUAUGUCAACAGGAUAAACAGAUGAGUUAAGCUGACCAAUACAUUAUGCAUUGCACAUUGUACAGUGCAGGGUGGCCCACCAUGUCCCAUUCUCCUUGUACAGCUGGAGAUGUGUUAGAAAAACCAAAUUAACAUGUGGAUUCAAGCCUCCUGUACUAAUAAGCUGUUGUAUGUGACAAAAGUACCCUGCUGACAACUCUAGCUGCCAGUAGGGUAGUGUAAAAAA